AUUGAACGCUGGCGGCAGGCUUAACACAUGCAAGUCGAACGAGUGGCGGACGGGUGAGUAAUGCUUGGGAAUCUCGCUUAUGGAGGGGGAUAACUACGGGUAACUGUAGCUAAUACCGCGUCCCAUAGGAUGACCUCCAGUGGGAUUGGGUAGUUGGUGAGGUAAAGGCUCACCAAGCCGAGGAUCUCUAGCUGGGCGGAGAGGAUGACCAGCCACACUGGGACGGAGACACGGCCCAGAGUCCUACGGGAGGCAGCAGUGGGGAAUAUUGCGCAAUGGGGGCAACCUGACGCAGCCAUGCUGCGUGAAUGAAGAAGGCCUUCGGGUUGUAAAGUUCUUUCGGUAGCGAGGCGUUACCCGCAGAAGAAGCACCGGCUAACUCCGUGCCAGCAGCCGCGGUAAUAC
rnacentral:rRNA from 1 species